AUGGCUAUCCUAAGUAUUGGAGUCAACUGGUACGUGUUCUCGCCCCGAGGACUCAGGAUAUAUGAUUGCUGAUGAUGAAUAUUAAGUGUACAGAACCGAUGAAUCAGCACUUACCUACAUACGUAUCUUUAGAUGCGACCGGUAAUGCUGUACAGAAGUAAGAGUCGUGCUGAAAACAAGAACUUUGUCUUUUAGAAUUGUGUGUUUUCUGGGAUAUGAAGAAUCAGAAUCAGACUCUAGACAUUGGUGCAACUUUACAGUUUCCCGUCCACAGAAAGGGUAUAUUGUCGUUACCGUAGACCAUGUCAUCGUAGAGUUUAUUUCUCUCAGCGUCGAAACCCCCAAGAUCCCCAUAGAAUGGAAUCUUCGCAUUGACAGCCACCGAGAGGAGAAGAAACGCGGAACCCCAACACGCAGGCCCCAUGGCUAGAGUACAGAUGGACAUGUUAUGUAGUCUUGCUCACACUCAUUUGACUUUGCGGUCCUCUAACAGGGCACGCGUCUGAGCAAAAGCGUUGUACGCUUGACCGUUUAGUCAUGAAGUGUAUGCUUUACGUAGAAUAUUCGCUUCACUUAAGAUGAAUUUUAAAUUUUGAUUCGAUAUCUUAUGAACCGCGAGUAUUCUAAAACGCAUCCCCAUACAAAGUUGACUGGGUUACAAACCAGUAUCAAUAUAUUCAAAUAGAAGCCAAUUAGCACUCUUAUAUAAAGUAAUAUUUUCGCUUGGGGUGGAAGUAGUUAAGUUGUUGGUUUACAGUUUUAUCAACUCAACUAUUGUUCUUGAGUGGGCCAUAUUAAUCCUUCAAAGGAAAGAAAAUGCAGAAAAUGGCCAAUUAGUUGGUCAUAUUGGUGGCUUUUUUUCUGCAUUACACUAGACACGAAUUGAUAAACAGUUAUUUAUAAUGUUAGUGACUCAUUAUUCGAAAAUACGCAACCAAUUCUUCAACUGGGUGCUAUAUAGGAAGAUAACCUGAGUUACAUACCUCAGAUAUUUGGUAUUUUGAUGAAAGUAAAUCGACUCUUUGAUACCCUC